GCCUGGUUGGCUCAGUGGUUGAGCAUCUGCCUUUGGCUCAGGUCAUGAUUCCGGGGUCCUGGGAUUGAGUCCCAAAUCAGACU
rfam:Canis lupus familiaris chromosome 24, whole genome shotgun sequence.